UUUGAUUAGGAGAAUAAGCCUCAUUGUGAUUCAGUAGUCAAGAUCAAAGAAAAGAUUUCUGGUUUCUUGCUCCCAGAUAUAUGUUAUCUGCACUUAAAGAAUUAAAAAGCACACAUCAAAGAAGCAUGGCCUUGUUAAGAAAGG
rnacentral:lncRNA from 1 species